rnacentral:rRNA from 1 species
UAAGCGGAGGAAAAGAAACUAACAAGGAUUCCCCCAGUAACGGCGAGUGAAGCGGGAAGAGCUCAAGCUUAAAAUCUCCAUACUUGUAUGGCGAAUUGUAGUCUAUUGAGGCUGUUGUCAGCAUCGCGAUUGGGGACAAGUCCCUUGGAAAAGGGCAGCAUAGAGGGUGAUACUCCCGUCUCUGCUCCAAUCUGCGGUGUGUACGAUACGCUUUCUUUGAGUCGAGUUGUUUGGGAAUACAGCUCAAAGUAGGUGGUAAAUUCCAUCUAAAGCUAAAUAUUGGUGCGAGACCGAUAGCGAACAAGUACCGUGAGGGAAAGAUGAAAAGAACUUUGAAAAGAGAGUUAAAGAGUACCUGAAACUGUUGAAAGGGAACCGUAUCGUUUCCAGUGUUGUAUCCUGUGCAUAUUUCAUUCGCGGAGUAAUUUGCGGGUGCCCUGUGCAUGGGUGUGACGUCAGGGUCAGUUUGUAUGCUGCGGGAGAUGGUCAGUGAGGAGGUGCGUCACUUCGGUGAAAGUUAUAUCUCGCUGUCUAGUAGCCGUGGUUGAGACUGAGGUGCCUACAACAUGCCUUAAGGUUCCGUGUUGUCUCGUGUUGGUGACUGCUUUGAUAGCUUGCUAUGUCUGUGGUUUAUUAGUGCGAUUGAUGAUGCGGAUAACUUUUGCUGUUCGGGACUCUGGCGAAAUGGAGCGAU